UAUUCGUCUGCACGUAGGUCUAUUUUAUCCAUACAUAUUUCAGCUAACACUUCCGCUUUCAUUUCUAAAAAUUUAUCCAAAAGCUUACAGGCCUUUUGUAGUUCUGUGUUGCGUUGAAAGGUAUGGCUGCAAGCAGAAUCAAAGGAAACAAUUUCGUACUUUUUUAUCACACGCAACACCUCUAGGUCUUUCUCGAAAUCUUGUGGGCAUUCCUCUUUAUAAAUAAAGCCAAAAAAUCCAGCAAGGGUUUCGCUAUUAUGGUCAGGAAAAUGAAUGGUCUUGAUAGGUUUCUCUGUCUUGCUGUAAAACAUCUCAUUAAACACAGGACUGCUCAUGGCCAACACAAAUUUGUGUGCAUAGAAUACUUCUUCAGAUUUGUUAUCUCCAAACGUAAAUUUGAUGUCACUUAUGAAAGAGUUAUUGUACAUUGUUUCAACUUCUGAAGGUUUUGUAGGCUGCCUAAUUAUAUUCGAACUCUCGGAGUAUUUGUGUGCAUUAACUAAAUGUAUAUUUGUCAAUUCCAACCAUGUCGCCGCUAACAUCAACACAAACGACCAACUGCUUACAAAAACCAUGCUGUAUGCUCCAGAUUCGAAUGUGUAAAUCGUUUGGUAUAUAAAAUUAUAAACUUUAAACGAUAG